UAAAGUUUCAUGUUUUCCGACAGGACACAAAAGCAGCAUAAACUCCUCCUCCUUCUGUCAGAGCGGGAAGUUCAGAUGUUCGUCUGGUUUAGCUAACGUACCACAUAUCUCGGUGCCCCGGCUGCUAAUUCAACACAAAACUCACUUGUGAGGAAUCUUAACGAAGGAGAGCUCUGAAAUCAUGUCCAGUAACGCCGAAGAGAGGAGCAGCUCUGCACCCAAGUGCUUCGGACAGCCUGGAUCUUCUCCCGUUGCUUUUCUGUUCAGGUGGACUGAACACACUGAUUUAAACACGUCAGCAUGCAAAAGAGAGAGUGUAUCUGUGUAUUAUUUUACUGAUAUGGACCUAUGCAUCUGAUAUAGAAGUUGAUUGGAUUGUAAUGUACUGACAAACUGUCCCAGGGUGGUUUUCAAUGUUUCACCUGGUGCAUGCUGGGAUACACGUCUGUCACCCACAGUCCAAAAAGUGAAAUGAGAAAAAUAAAUUAAAGAAUUUAGUAAUUUGAA